rnacentral:rRNA from 1 species
CCGGGUAAUCUUGUUAAACUCUGUCGUGCUGGGGAUAGAGCAUUGCAAUUAUUGCUCUUCAACGAGGAAUCCCUAGUAAGCGCAAGUCAUCAGCUUGCGUUGAUUACGUCCCUGCCCUUUGUACACACCGCCCGUCGCUACUACCGAUUGAAUGGCUCAGUGAGGCUUUCGGACUGGCCCAGAGAGGUCGGCAACGACCACUCAGGGCCGGAAAGUUAUCCAAACUCGGUCAUUAGAGAA